UACGAAGGGGGCUAGCGUUGUUCGGAAUUACUGGGCGUAAAGCGCGCGCAGGCGGUCUUCCAAGUCAGUGGUGAAAGCCCGGAGCUCAACUCCGGAACUGCCAUUGAAACUGUGAGACUAGAGUACGAGAGAGGUGAGUGGAAUUCCCAGUGUAGAGGUGAAAUUCGUAGAUAUUGGGAAGAACACCGGUGGCGAAGGCGGCGUCACUGGUCCGGAACUGACGCUGAGGUGCGAAAGCGUGGGGAGCAAACAGGAUUAGA
rnacentral:rRNA from 1 species